AGAUUUCACUUCCGAGUUCAUCUUUCUCAUUCAAAUAAUUAUCUCGAAUUAUUCAAAUACUCAAACUCAAAUACGGAUAUAAAAUCCCACAUCAUUCUCACAUUAUCAAAAGAACAUCUCAAUAUAAAAAAAAUAACAAUAAAACUUCAUAUAACUUCUCAUUUCUUUACAAAGUAAUCAAACAAGGGAUCUAUACCCUAAUCACUCAAACUCAAGCAAUUAAACACGUCAUCAAAAGCCCGGGUAUUACAUACCCUCCCCCUUAAAAUAAAUUUCGUCCCGAAAUUUGUACCUCUUGUAAAUGUUUCGGGUACUUCUCUCACAUCUUAUCC
rnacentral:lncRNA from 1 species